UGGAAUUGGUACAGCUUCGCGGUUUCGGAUAAAGAGCAAACCACUCCCCGCUGCAAAGUCUGUCUGAAGGCGGUAUUGACUCGUCCACUCGGAAACGAAUUCAGGAGUAAAUGCAAAAGUUUGUUGUGUCUGUGUUUCAUCCACACGGAAAUGGUGUUUUGGAUGAUGUAAAUCGUACCUUUUGAAAGUAGGUCACAGAGUGCAUAAAUCCAUAAAUGACGACCAUUUCAUCUCCGUGUGGAUGCCAAUCCGCAUCUCUGUAAACGAUCAUGUGACAUGCAGUGUAACUCUUUUAUGGCGCCUGUGCGUGUCCGGCCAAAACAACCUUUAUACACAUGCUCUGUACUCUUCUUCUGUCUUUUGUUCAUUUCCUGUGCAGCGUUACAGCGCCACUUACUGGCGUGGCAUAUGCACGCCAUUGUUUUCAGUGGUGUUGUUUUGAGAGAUGAUAGAAAAGCUUUUUUAUUUUUAAAGUGAAGUUUGGUGAAGCUGUCACUGAAUUAAAAAAAAUCUAAAUCUAAAAUAGAGUUUUCAGAGAAAUAAAUUGGGAUUUUAUUUUUGGCCAAAACUGUGCAGCCCUAAUUGCCAUGAAAGCAACCUUUGUUUAAAGUUAUUCUGUACAUUAUUUUCUGCGCAUUUGAGCCUUUGUUUGGCAGCUUUGAUGCAAAAAAGAAGUGUGGUUAUUAAAUAGGAGGUAUCAUAAAAGCGGUGAUAUUUGCAGUUUCCAGGUCUACUGGGGAUUUUCUUUUUUGUGCUGGGAAAAACCUGUCUCUGUGCAGUUAUGUUACUUCAUGUGUGUUUGAAAGGACUGAAUGAAACUCUCAAUGUCCAGUUUUCUCACAGUGGUCUGUGGGAUAGUUGCCAGAGUGGUCCAUGACACCCGUAGCCCUGUAAAGUUUUCAGGGCAGGUGUAAUUCCCUGUAAAACGCCCUAUAAUUUACUGCCCUUUGGGAGCACACUGUCUCAGGGUGUGAAAAUCAAUAGGAUGGCGGAGAGGGAUCGGGCACAGAGUCUAUGCUCAGCCACACUAUAGCUGCAGUUAGGGUAAUUCUGUAAUGGCAGGGGAUGAGGUUCAACCUAUCUAACGCUCUAUCUGAAGCAGAUAAAUGUUUUACAACACCAUCGUUUAACCCUUCCUACCUGCUCCACCCUUCCCCCAACAUCUCUCAGGGCUCAACUCAGGGACCGCCCCUAGAGAUGAGGUCCAUACUGUGGUGUUGGUGGUAGCGAAUGCGUUUGUAACCCUGUGUGUGUGUGUGUGUGUGUGUGUGUGUGUGUGUGUGUGUGUGUGUGUGUGUGUGUGUGUGUGUGUGUGUGUGUGUGUGUGUGUGUGUGUGUGUGUGUGUGUGUGUGUGUGUGUGUGAGUGAGUGCGGGGUUCGCUCCAUCGUCUCCCUGGGUGUGCACUCCGACUCUUAAUGCUCUAUAACCUUGUAAAGAUAGCCUGAGGCAUUUUAGCAUAUAGCUGAUCUUCAAAACCCCCCAGUUGUUUCAGAGGGAAGCCAUGCGGAAAACAUGCAUUGAAUCUUACAAGAUGCUGCAUGUAUAAUGUAGCAUACAGCACAUCAUACGAAGCACUGAAUAUUAUUACCUUAAUUUAGAGCAACAAUAGGAAUCUUAGUGAUAAGAUCCUGAUAGUCAAAACCAAUGUGAUUGAGAAGGACAAUCAUUGAGGACUUGGGCUUCCAAGGGAGAUGACAGAGGAUUACUUCCAGAGUUAAUCAGAGUAUCACGUUAUUGCCUUGAUUUUGUUUCUAAUAAAAGACGGGGUAAAGCUUUUGUGUGAUGUAAGUGUGAUGCAGAGGAAAUGGAGGGAGAUCCCACGCAGACCCCAAAGCCCCGUCUGCAUGACGUGUCUCGGCUUCAGCAGAGACACGCAAUCCACAGUUUCAGAAGAGAGUGCAGAGAUCUCAUUGUGCCUGCCCGGAUUGGCACCAACAGCAAUCACUUGUUUCUGAUUUAUUAGAUAGGCAAGGAAAUUAAUUUUGUUCCAAAAUGCAUGGUCGGAAAUUAGAUGGUGAAAUUGUGUGAAAGAAUCAGUGAUUGUUUUCCCCCCUCUGCUAUCCCUCCGGAGGUACUGAUAACUGCUGAUCUCUGUGACACCAUUAAUGAAAAACUUAUUCAGAUUCCAGAAGAAAAAAUACCUUCAGCAAUGUAGUAAUUAACUUGCCUUUCACUCCAGUCUAUAACAGGAUUUGAACCACCCAUUAAGAUUCCUCCGAAAAACUGACCACUAGCACCCAGGUCAUGGCUGGCUAGUGAUCCUGGGAAGUUCUGCCCUCCAAUGUACAUCCUAUUCACUUGUGAGACUGAUAAGCUGGUUUAGCUUUAGCUCUGUUAGAUUUAAGUUAAUCAAAAUACUCCAAGAAAAAAAGCAAUAAUAGACUGUGGUAGGACUGGACGAUUAUGGCAAAAAUAAUAAUCAUGAUUAUUUUGACUGAUAUUGGAAUCAGGAUUAAUAAACACGAUUAAAUUGAGUAUUGAUUGAACCACCAAAACUUAACUUUUAAUUUAACUUAAAAGAACAGUCAGAAAUGAUCACAAUGUUUUUUCAGCACAGGAACUGAAAUACAGCCCCCAAAAAGAGGACAUGUCCGAGUAAAAGAGGACAUGUCCGAGUAAAAGAGGACGUAUGGUCACCCUACAUGAAACAGAGACAAGUCAAAGACGCGGCAGAAGCAGCAACUAGCUAGCGAACAGUGGCAGCCUUCCCAGAGAUGUUCAGACACAUCAAAAACUGAUAUUUCAAGAUUUGUUGUAGAGCAAAAAAAUAUCAGAUCUUGUUUUUUCUUAAUAUUUAUACUUUUUAACUGGACUUUCAGCUGUUUUCUUUCAGUUCCUAAACUUCCUUAAAGUAGAAUAAAAGCAGAAAAUAGAACAAUCUAAAACCUAAACACUAAAAAUGUUAAAAUAAAAGUAUGAAAAUCAUUUUUUUGAGGCAGUCUCUAAAAUCAUUUCUGUUUAUGGGGCUGAGAUAAAACAUAUCUUUAAAUAUUAAAUAAAAUAUAAAUAGUAUCCUAGCUAAAACAUGGUUAUAUAACAACUCAGACAGGUAAGAUGGUACCAGCCUAUGAAAAAGUUCACUAACUAACUGAAAGUGUUAAAGAUCUGAGUAACACAGGAGGCAAAUGGACAUUUUUAUUGUACCUCUGCAUUGUAUUUUGAUGAUCGUGUCAAAUUAUUUCCCAUUGUGGUUACACUUCAUCAUGACCAUCUCCAUGCAUGAUUAAGUUCAUUAUCUGCCACAGUAUGUAUCUGCAGCUAAUCGCUAAUGUAGUCUCAGUGUGACACAGCUGACUGUGAAGAAUACCUGUCCCACAUUUUUACUCAGCCACCUUUUUUUUUGACCGUGAAAAAAUGUCUCUGCCAUGGCUGUGCAAAAUGAGCUGACGUUGAGUGUGAAAGAGGUUGGUAUUUCACAAUGAUAGUACAUUUUCUUAAACUUAAUGGUAGUAAAAGCAGAAAAGCAGCCUGCCAUCUCUCUCCCUCACCUAUCAGCCACAUUGUUACCUGUCUACUUUGUCACUUAGCGAGGUUCAGUUGCUCGAUAAAUGUGCAUAAAAAAGCUAGACAAGCUUGUUUAUUUUGAUCAUUUAUCCACAGAAACAGUGACAGACAACCAUAAACAUAAAGCGUAAGCAACCACGCAACUUUAUUCCACCACACUACCAUAAAUUCAUACUAAUACUUCUUUAACAUCUGAAAAUUUACUUGUAUAACCCCGGGUUCAUGACUGCUUUCUCGCUGAGGCUCUUCCACCAUUUUCCCAAGAUUGAAUGCAA